rnacentral:rRNA from 1 species
CACGUAGGGCGCAAGCGUUGUCCGGAAUUAUUGGGCGUAAAGAGCUCGUAGGCGGUCUGUCGCGUCUGCCGUGAAAACCCAUGGCUUAACUGUGGGCUUGCGGUGGAUACGGGCAGGCUGGAGGCAGGCAGGGGAGAACGGAAUUCCCGGUGCAGCGGUGAAAUGCGCAGAUAUCGGGAGGAACACCGGUGGCGAAGGCGGUUCUCUGGGCCUGUACUGACGCUGAGGAGCGAAAGCGUGGGGAGCGAACAGG